GACGAACCGUGCGAACGUUAUUCGGAAUCACUGGGCUUAAGGGCGCGUAGGCGGGGCGGACAAGUCGGGGGUGAAAUCCGGUUCGGCCCCAACCCGGACAAGGGCCCCCGAUACUGGCCGUCUCGAGGGAGGUAGGGGUCGAUGGAACUUCCGGUGGAGCGGUGAAAUGCGUAGAUAUCGGAAGGAACGCCGGUGGCGAAAGCGAUCGACUGGACCUCUUCUGACGCUGAGGCGCGAAAGCCAGGGGAGCAAACGGGG
rnacentral:rRNA from 1 species